rnacentral:rRNA from 1 species
CUACGGGUUGCAGCAGUGGGGAAUAUUGGACAAUGGGGGAAACCCUGAUCCAGCAAUGCCGCGUGUGUGAAGAAGGCCUGCGGGUUGUAAAGCACUUUCGGUUGGGAGGACUGCUUCUAGCACUAAUAUUGUUGGAAGUUGACGUUACCUUCAGAAGAAGCACCGGCUAACUCCGUGCCAGCAGCCGCGGUAAUACGGGAGGUGCAAGCGUUAAUCGGAAUUACUGGGCGUAAAGCGCGCGUAGGCGGCUAGAUCAGUCGGGUGUGAAAGCCCCGGGCUUAACCUGGGAACUGCAUCCGAUACUGUCUAGCUUGAGUACAGGAGAGGAGAGUGGAAUUCCACAUGUAGCGGUGAAAUGCGUAGAGAUGUGGAGGAACACCAAUGGCGAAGGCAGCUCUCUGGCCUGAUACUGACGCUGAGGUGCGAAAGCGUGGGGAGCAAACAGGAUUAGAUACCCGUGUAGUC